AUAGGUUCGAGGUGGACGCGUGGCGACAUGUGCAGCUGACGAAUACUAAUCGAUCGAGGACUUAACCA
rnacentral:rRNA from 1 species